UACGAAGGGGGCUAGCGUUGCUCGGAAUCACUGGGCGUAAAGGGUGCGUAGGCGGGUCUUUAAGUCAGGGGUGAAAUCCUGGAGCUCAACUCCAGAACUGCCUUCGAUACUGAGAGUCUCGAGUCCGGGAGAGGUGAGUGGAACUGCGAGUGUAGAGGUGAAAUUCGUAGAUAUUCGCAAGAACACCAGUGGCGAAGGCGGCUCACUGGCCCGGUACUGACGCUGAGGUGCGAAAGCGUGGGGAGCAAACAGG
rnacentral:rRNA from 1 species